AUUUAAAUAGCUUAUAUAGAGCGUAAUAUUGAAGAUAUUAAGGAAACAUAUAUUGUUUUUAAAUA
rnacentral:tRNA from 1 species